AUCAAUUGGAAAAAAAAAAAAAAACUAAACUCGGGUCUACCCACUUACCCACGAAAUACUGCAGUUCCUUAAAAAAUAAACUCCAAUUCCCUCAAUCCCAAUUCCCAUUUCCUUAAAAGAUCAACUACAAUUCCCUCAUUCUCAAUUCCCUAAAUCCCAAUUAUACCAAAUCCCAAAUCUUAAUCAAUCUAAACAUUUUUUAGCGAGCUCCCUUCAAUUCGAAAUUUGUCCAAGUUCCAUUCAAUCCAAAAUUUGUUGAGGUCAUUUGCGAUUUGGUUUCUUCUCCGAUAAACCUUUAUCAACGGUUGUGAUGAAAUCUGUCUGGCGUACUUCUUCAAAUUGUAAAUCUGCUAUGAAUUAUCAAUUUUGAUAAGUUUUAAAUGGAUGGAUUCCAAGAGGAAUUUGAAGAAUCUCAAGGAUAAACAAAAUAUCCUCCUGCUUCCUUAAUGCUGAUUAUGGUAACUUAGGUAAUAAAGAAAGAGGUACAGUUUAGCUAUUCUGUUUACUAUGGCGGGCGAGAAGUGUACGCUAAAUCAUCUACUACUCAGACUUCCACUCUAUACCCUACAGUAAGUCCUGAAUAUAUCCAUUUUGUAAUAACGACUGCUUUAGAAUAAUAUUAUGGGCCGAUCUAGGAUUUUAAUAAUAGAUGAAGGAUAAAGUUGUAUACUCAAGUUCUAUUAUUCUAUACUUAUCUACUGUACUCUAUAUAAUAAUGUCAUAUUGUUAUGUGUAUUAUUAGUUCCCUAGGAGUUACUUAUAAAGAACUAUCAUAUAUAUAGAAUAACUAAAAGAUUACCGGCUGAUUUUUUUGUUUAUUAUGAUAAAACCUGGUUUGCUUAUUCGUAUAGAUGAUCCAAGUGGUACUUCAAGGGGAAAUUGGUGGUAAUCCACAACCAUCUCUAUUAUUGUACUUAUUAAAUCUAACAUUACUGGUGUUGCUUUCAAACACUAACAGAGGAAUUAGUAUGAGGAUUUUCGUCUUUUAUCCACCGUGGUGUCAGUUCUUCCAGACAAUGAAAGUUCAUACCUGUAGCUGGAUGAUACAUAUGGGUUGGAAGUGGUGUCAAGGUAGGAAAGUUCAGGGCAUAUCGUGAUCAGAAUGCAUUUUCUAAAAGUGAAUUUCACCUGAGAAGAUGACUAAGAAACAGAGAUCUCAAUGCACUCGUGGCUUUCACUAUUCUCUAAGAUGAUGACCAGGUUUGCAGUUAGUAGAUUAUGUAUGUGAUAGUUCAACAUUUGGGUAAUCAGAAAGAAAAUACCUCAAUCCCAUACUUGAUCUCUCGACCAAUUGUUUGCAGAUAAAGAGAUAAAUGUAAUAGGUUAAUUUGUGUAUUUUUUUAACUAAUUAUUAAUUGACAUUUUUUUUUAUUUCAUAGUGCUCUCGGCAAAAUGGCAUUGAUUUUGGAUUAUAUGGCACUGGCUUCAUGAAAGGAGAUUCUCAACCACAAGCAUACCCAUAUUCAUGAAGAUGUGUAGUUCAAAUAAUGGUUUAAUGAUCAAGAUCAGAUUAAUGAAACCAGGACUCAUUGGAUGUGUUUUGUUUUUCUUUUAUGCUUAUGUGUAGUCAUUUUUUUUUCCAAUUUGUGACAAUGAAUAUUGUACAUGGGUAUGAGAUGUUUAUUUGAUGUAAUUGAGAUAUGAAAUGACUUUUGUUAUUUAUACUGAAUUGUUGUUAAUGGA